UUCCGAUUUCUCAACUAAGGGAAGGAACUACUAAUAAAGCGAGAGGGAGGGAAACAGAGAGCGAGAGAGAUAAGAAAAGCUUCAAUGGAAUUCCAAAUGGAGCUGCUCUCCGUCGCUCCCCAACUCCCUCACCCUAACAGCGUCCCAAUGCCAACAACGGAAUCCCAACCUCCGUUAACGGACGUCAUAACGGCACUCGAGCAAGCAACCCAAACCGUCAAAUCCCUCCCUUCCUCCACCGACCCUGCCCACCUCCUCCAAGCCUACGCCUCCCUUCGCAACGCUCACCACCAGAUCGGAGCCGUCCUUGCCCGAUUCCUUCCCCACCAUCAGACGGUCGAGAAUUCCUCCGUCUCCGUUGCUGGAUGCGAAGAAGACGAGCCCAUGGCCGACGAAAAUUCAGAAGAAGUAGAGAGCUUGAAGGUCAUUGAAAAAGUCGAGGAAGGGAUGAGGGACUGUGCUCUCGAUCAAAGGAAGCGCCGCAAGCGCCCCCUGUCCCCGUACUGGGCCACGCAACGGCCUGCCAAUGACUGUGUCCGGGAUACGGCCUUGUUCGAUCAGAGGGAGCGUCUGCGGUCAUUCGAUCUUGUUUUCCAGUUCCAUGGAUAAGAUGAGAUAUGAUAGGGUCAAAACUAUGUGGGCAUGUUCAGAUUGAACCUCUUGUCUGAUAGCAGUUGCUCCCACAGGAGAGGAUGGUCGAUGUCACACAGGCAGCCAGUUGUCAAAGAUUUGCCAAGCUACCCCAAGAAUGAACAACUCCAUGGUGGUGAUGAUGAUGGUUCGGGUGGAACUAGUGAGAAAUAUUCAAAAGAAGCAAAGGCAAAGGCACUUCUUGAAGGCUUAAAAUUUUCAAAGUGACUUUUGGUGGAAGUUGAUUCUUUUGAUGCUAUUUCUUUUGGGCUGAGCCCAAAAGUGCUGGUCCCUAUAAAUUUGUGAGUAUAAUACUGGAAAUUUUGGGAACUUUCAAGGGUUUCGUAUAUUUCUUUCCAUCAUGUCCUGUUGGGGGAGAUGACGUAGCAGAUAACAAAUAAGGUUCUAGAACCUUUUUGUGUAUCGGGCAUCUCUACCUCUUCAAAUUAUUUGCUGUUUUUUUUUUUUUUUUUUCCCCUUAAUAAAAUUGUCAUUUAUAUUAAAUGGGAAUAUAGAACUCUCCAGAUUUGUGGUAGUGUUAUUACAACUUGCAAUCAGGGUUGGUUCGGAAUAAGCCCAAGAACAUUAAAUAAGUGUAAAGUUCAUCAGAAAUUGGCUGCUUUCCAAUCUGAAUUAAUUUGUACAUAGAGAUCCAGCAACCACUGCCAAUAGCUGCCCCACUGCAUCCAGCAGGUCGGGACUUAAAAAUGGAAGUUAGGAGCUUCAAUACAAAUUCAAGCAUGAUUCAACCUGCAAAAAACUUCUGGUGACUAGAGAAUCUAUGCCCCUUCCAACACCUCCGUUGGUAAGAAGAGCCGACUUUCAGGAGUUUCUUUUAAUAAACUGAUGGGAGUAGUUUGUAAGGCCUAAAAUGAAAUGCCAAAUAUGAUAGCUUUGUGGGCAUGCAAUUCUAUUAUUCUCUUUAUACCAUCCAUCCACCCACCUGAACACUGAUCUUAUAGAUUCAAUGCCUAAGGUACAUAAUCUACUUCUGGGAAAAAAACUAAUAAUUCAGGUUUCAAAUAGAGUUGUUUCCCUCAACUUUAACACAAUCCUUGAAUGUUUGACAUGUUUGUUUAAAGAUUCUUUUUUUUUUGGAAAGAUGACAGGUUCCAUUAAGAAUCAGAAGGCAUGCAGCUCUGGAGGCCGCAAGGACAGGUGACCUUCUUGUUGCUUCUGUUGGCUUGGGAGAAAACACAGGCAAAUUAAAAUUCAAAAUAAAACAGCCUGACCAGGCUGCGUGGCCAACUAUAUCUUAGGAUAGAGACACAGGAUCAUGUGACAACUGAAUCCCAGUCCCUCAAAAUAGACCAUCUGCAGAGCCUCACCAAACCUGGCUGACUGAGCAUCCAUUCCAUACAGCAAGAAAGGAUGAGCUAUUCCAUACUUAUGAGAAAUGUUGUUGUCUAGGUUCAGUUUGUAGUCAGACACAAAUAUAUUGUGAUAGGAAUAUUUCCUGCAAAGGUGUCAAAUUAGUCUUUUCUCUCAAUUCAUAUUUUCUUCUAGUGUUGAGAAGGGUAAAAAUUCCGUGAACUUCAAAAUUAUUUGAUACAAUUGUGUGAAUGCCAAAAGGCAAAAGGGAUGAGCCUUGGGUUGUGAACUCGUAAUGAUUGCACCUUUCUAGCAAACGUUCCUACCCCAAUACGUUUUGUAUCCUACUUCUAGACAGACCCUUAGUAACAAUGUCAUCUGAUAAGAGAUUUGACCUUGUCCCAUAUCCAGUAAUGUUCUUUAUCUUUGUUUUCUUUUGCUCAUCUUGGAAUCCAAAUUACUUCGUCUGUGCUGUCAUUUGUGAGAUGUUUAACUGUAUCAUCUCCAAUCCAGUUUUCCACAAGCAUCAUCAUCAUCUAAACCUUAUCCCAACUAAUCCUGGUCAUCUACAUGAAUCUUGUUCCACCAUUCACCAUUCCACUCUACCACGGACCUCAGUUAAACCAUAAUUCCUCAAGUCUUUUCUUACUACCUCCACCCAAGUCCUUUUGGGUCUUCCCCUUUCCCUUUUAGAGCAACUUGAAUCAAUUCACCGACGGGGGAGUUUUGUAUGCUCAUUUCCGGUCCUAAGCUUGGAUGAAGGAAGGUUGCGUCAAGCUGGCAACUGACAUGAAACUUUUGCCUCUGCUUCUAGAAAUAGGGUUCUUGUAGCUGUUCCAAAUAGUUCAUAUAAGGCCUGGAUGAUGAUGAAUUUGAACCACCUCACUUCUAACCGGUGCAGUUCUUGGUCUCCGUCUUACAUGGCCAAACUGUCUAAGUCUACUUUCUCUCAUCUUAUUAUCCUAUUGGUGCUAUUCCGGAGUUCCCUCAAAUGCUGGUUAUUUUCCACAAGCCAACUAAGAAAAUCAAGGCCAGAUGGUUGGUAUUUAACUGAAUGAUAAGGAAAGUAAAUGGCUAUGAACAGGACAUUUCAGUGAAUGAAAUUUGCAACACUUUCCAGAACUGAGUUCCAGAUGAUGAAUUCAAUCCUUUCACCAUAAGUAUACUUGAUUUUCCAUUCGUGCAUGCCAACCAAAAACCAAGAUGUAUUUAUCUCUUUUUAAAACUGAAAACCUCAGUUUCCUUUUGAGAGGGCUCGGGUUCACAUACUAUGUUUUACAAUAGUAACUUAAUGCAAUGUUCUCAUGGUUAUAUCU